AGAAGACACAGAGGCUUCUGACACUGAUUGGGCUGGCAGAUCUGGUCUUGGAUUUCUCUCAGUCAGAUCACAGCAGAGCACUUUUGUCUGCAAAGCAACAUCAGCAUGUCAAGAAAAAUCAAUGAAAGCAAGGGGAAAAAAUGCCUCUGGCUCUGUUGGGCUUUUAAAGCAUAGCUGCUCUUGAGAGCUUGGAAAAAGCAGAACGCUGAGGAAAGUCCCAGGAGAGCAGAGGAACUUUGGAGUCACCUCUGGAGGAGUCUCAGGUCUCACUCUCUCUUGCCAUUUUUGCUGACUUUAACUAAGGGAAUGAGAACAAGAGAAGAAUACUCAAUGGUGCUAAUGCAAUAAGGAAGCUACCGGGCAAGCCCUGGGCCACAGAGACAGUGCAUCAUGCUUGCAUUACCAUUUCAAGAAGAUUUUUCAAAUCAUAGACCUUGAAAUCCACUAUUUGCAAUUGAAAUUGUUUUUCACCAUCCUGGGAAUAAGGGUCAAGAAAAAAGCUAAUGAUGGCCUUACAAAUUUUACACACAAAAUAAGCAUCCCUUACGUGCAAAGCUGCUCUCAAGAGAUUACCUCAUUAACAGCUGCAGAGUCUGAAUUUUUUGGUCCUGACAUUUAGACAGGAAUCCAAAAAGCCACCAUGAAUCACACAGACAUCUCAGGCUUAGUUAUUCUCAGUGAAUCCCAGCUGCCCUCAGGGGCUAUUUGGAGUGUUCCUUGCUGAACCACUCUGCAUAUUGUCCCUGCCAUUUCCAAUCCCACUCACCACACUUCUCCUGCAAAGGCCAGGUGAACUGGGGGUCCAUCCAGUCCCACAGAGCUGUGGCUUCAGAUUCAGUCAGCACAGGAGACAGGAGGUUCUGAGCAGAAAUUCCUGGUGUAAUUCACUGGGAACUGUGCUCAGCUCUGGGGUCCUGGCCUGAAAGGGCCUUCCCAGCUGCUUUGUACACCCUGUAAUGUUUCAGAGCCACUGCUCAGGUGUGACAGGGGUGUUUGUGGGUCCAGCAUGGCAAGA